rnacentral:rRNA from 1 species
GACGAACGCUGGCGGCGUGCUCAACACAUGCAAGUCGAACGGAAAGGCCCUGCUUUUGUGGGGUGCUCGAGUGGCGAACGGGUGAGUAACACGUGAGUAACCUGCCCUUGACUUUGGGAUAACUUCAGGAAACUGGGGCUAAUACCGGAUAGGAGCUCCUGCUGCAUGGUGGGGGUUGGAAAGUUUCGGCGGUUGGGGAUGGACUCGCGGCUUAUCAGCUUGUUGGUGGGGUAGUGGCUUACCAAGGCUUUGACGGGUAGCCGGCCUGAGAGGGUGACCGGCCACAUUGGGACUGAGAUACGGCCCAGACUCCUACGGGAGGCAGCAGUGGGGAAUAUUGCACAAUGGGCGGAAGCCUGAUGCAGCAACGCCGCGUGCGGGAUGACGGCCUUCGGGUUGUAAACCGCUUUCGCCUGUGACGAAGCGUGAGUGACGGUAAUGGGUAAAGAAGCACCGGCUAACUACGUGCCAGCAGCCGCGGUGAUACGUAGGGUGCGAGCGUUGUCCGGAUUUAUUGGGCGUAAAGGGCUCGUAGGUGGUUGAUCGCGUCGGAAGUGUAAUCUUGGGGCUUAACCCUGAGCGUGCUUUCGAUACGGGUUGACUUGAGGAAGGUAGGGGAGAAUGGAAUUCCUGGUGGAGCGGUGGAAUGCGCAGAUAUCAGGAGGAACACCAGUGGCGAAGGCGGUUCUCUGGGCCUUUCCUGACGCUGAGGAGCGAAAGCGUGGGGAGCGAACAGGCUUAGAUACCCUGGUAGUCCACGCUGUAAACGGUGGGUACUAGGUGUGGGGUCCAUUCCACGGGUUCCGUGCCGUAGCUAACGCUUUAAGUACCCCGCCUGGGGAGUACGGCCGCAAGGCUAAAACUCAAAGGAAUUGACGGGGCCCCGCACAAGCGGCGGAGCAUGCGGAUUAAUUCGAUGCAACGCGUAGAACCUUACCUGGGUUUGACAUGGAUCGGGAGUGCUCAGAGAUGGGUGUGCCUCUUUUGGGGUCGGUUCACAGGUGGUGCAUGGCUGUCGUCAGCUCGUGUCGUGAGAUGUUGGGUUAAGUCCCGCAACGAGCGCAACCCUUGUUCACUGUUGCCAGCACGUUAUGGUGGGGACUCAGUGGAGACCGCCGGGGUCAACUCGGAGGAAGGUGGGGAUGACGUCAAGUCAUCAUGCCCCUUAUGUCCAGGGCUUCACGCAUGCUACAAUGGCUGGUACAGAGAGUGGCGAGCCUGUGAGGGUGAGCGAAUCUCGGAAAGCCGGUCUCAGUUCGGAUUGGGGUCUGCAACUCGACCUCAUGAAGUCGGAGUCGCUAGUAAUCGCAGAUCAGCAACGCUGCGGUGAAUACGUUCCCGGGGCU